rnacentral:lncRNA from 10 species
AAAUUAUGAUGACGAUAGCAAUGAAAAUUUAUUGAACACUUACUCUGGACCAGACACCUAAGUGUUUUACUGGCAUUUUAUUUUAAUUCAUAAUGCCAUUUUGUAUGUUAAAACAUCCAUGUCUCAUCAAUAAGUAUCAGUGGGCAAACACAUUUUUUUUUAUUUUUUAAAUUUUUUGUUCUACCAUCUCAUCCUGUUAACUCCUACCAUGUCUUCCUUAACCAAUGGCCUCUCCCUGUAAGGUGGAUUCAUCUGUUCCUGGCAGUCCCAGGCGAACAACAUUUGCUUACCUGCCCCUUCUGUCUUCUAUGCCACUUGUGUGCCGAAUACAAUUCCAAAAUUAAGAAGAUUCCAUUUUUUAAAAAGUUGCUGAAAAUAAACGUUUGGGAACAAAAGGAGGGAAUUCUAAACACACCUGUUACCCCACAAAGAAUUAUGUACUGCAUCUUUAGCUGUUGUCUGCAAGGACCCCACUUUAACCCGGGUAUUAGAGGAUCCUGAGGAAGCCUGGGAAGGCGAGUAGUCUGUCCUUACCUUGUGCUGCCUCCUGGUGAGCUCAGCUGUGAGCACACAAAGAACUUAAAAUGAGAAGGACAUUAUUGAAACAAGAAUGAUGAAUUUGCACUGAUCUGAGUAGAUUCUCUUACCCUUAUGAACGAAGUGAUGAUGAUGAUGAUGACAAUGAUGAUAAUGACGACAAUGAUGAUAAUGGCCAUAAAUUAC